UUGUCAGUGGCUGAGGCAACACAGCCCAUUAUUGAUGUUGCUGCCUUGGCUCUUACUGCAUUUAGUUGGACAUUAGACAGACCAUAAAGGAGAUAUGGACUGUGGAAAGCAAAUGGCUUCAGAGCCUGUCAAGAACCAUUAAAUGGGGUCACAAGACAUCACAUCCUCCAGGAAAGGCACCUGCUCUUGGUCAACCUCUCAUCUAGUCAGAUGAAGAAGAGAAAGUCACUCAGAGAGAACAAAUCAACAUGAAUAGAAAAUGAAUUUUCAGAACUCUGGAAGUAGAGAGAACAUCUGGCUAUCUCCACAAGGAUGGGUAGUACAUUUCAAGAGACAGUUUUAUGACCUUAUGUGACCAUGAAGUCAUUGUGAUUAAAUAGCAGCUAAUGAAAAUGGCUAAGAAUAA